rnacentral:rRNA from 2 species
CGCUGGCGCGCGUGCCUAAUGCCUGCAAGUCCCAACGAACGUCUGGUAUUGAUUGGUGCUUGCAUCAUGAUUUACAUUUGAGUGAGUGGCGAACUGGUGAGUAACACGUGGGAAACCUGCCCAGAAGCGGGGGAUAACACCUGGAAACAGAUGCUAAUACCGCAUAACAACUUGGACCGCAUGGUCCGAGUUUGAAAGAUGGCUUCGGCUAUCACUUUUGGAUGGUCCCGCGGCGUAUUAGCUAGAUGGUGGGGUAACGGCUCACCAUGGCAAUGAUACGUAGCCGACCUGAGAGGGUAAUCGGCCACAUUGGGACUGAGACACGGCCCAAACUCCUACGGGAGGCAGCAGUAGGGAAUCUUCCACAAUGGACGAAAGUCUGAUGGAGCAACGCCGCGUGAGUGAAGAAGGGUUUCGGCUCGUAAAACUCUGUUGUUAAAGAAGAACAUAUCUGAGAGUAACUGUUCAGGUAUUGACGGUAUUUAACCAGAAAGCCACGGCUAACUACGUGCCAGCAGCCGCGGUAAUACGUAGGUGGCAAGCGUUGUCCGGAUUUAUUGGGCGUAAAGCGAGCGCAGGCGGUUUUUUAAGUCUGAUGUGAAAGCCUUCGGCUCAACCGAAGAAGUGCAUCGGAAACUGGGAAACUUGAGUGCAGAAGAGGACAGUGGAACUCCAUGUGUAGCGGUGAAAUGCGUAGAUAUAUGGAAGAACACCAGUGGCGAAGGCGGCUGUCUGGUCUGUAACUGACGCUGAGGCUCGAAAGUAUGGGUAGCAAACAGGAUUAGAUACCCUGGUAGUCCAUACCGUAAACGAUGAAUGCUAAGUGUUGGAGGGUUUCCGCCCUUCAGUGCUGCAGCUAACGCAUUAAGCAUUCCGCCUGGGGAGUACGGCCGCAAGGCUGAAACUCAAAGGAAUUGACGGGGGCCCGCACAAGCGGUGGAGCAUGUGGUUUAAUUCGAAGCUACGCGAAGAACCUUACCAGGUCUUGACAUACUAUGCAAAUCUAAGAGAUUAGACGUUCCCUUCGGGGACAUGGAUACAGGUGGUGCAUGGUUGUCGUCAGCUCGUGUCGUGAGAUGUUGGGUUAAGUCCCGCAACGAGCGCAACCCUUAUUAUCAGUUGCCAGCAUUAAGUUGGGCACUCUGGUGAGACUGCCGGUGACAAACCGGAGGAAGGUGGGGAUGACGUCAAAUCAUCAUGCCCCUUAUGACCUGGGCUACACACGUGCUACAAUGGAUGGUACAACGAGUUGCGAACUCGCGAGAGUAAGCUAAUCUCUUAAAGCCAUUCUCAGUUCGGAUUGUAGGCUGCAACUCGCCUACAUGAAGUCGGAAUCGCUAGUAAUCGCGGAUCAGCAUGCCGCGGUGAAUACGUUCCCGGGCCUUGUACACACCGCCCGUCACACCAUGAGAGUUUGUAACACCCAAAGUCGGUGGGGUAACCUA